rnacentral:ncRNA from 1 species
GGCAAACCCGCCUAAAGGCGGCGACGCAAAGCUAGAGGGCCUUCACCCCCCAUUGGGGUAUGGCAGCCAGUUGC